AACGAACGCUGGCGGCAUGCCUAACACAUGCAAGUCGAACGAGACCGUCGGGUCUAGGGGCGCACGGGUGCGGAAGGCGUGGGAAGCUGCCCGUAGGUUCGGAAUAACUCCCCGAAAGGGGUGCUAAUACCGGAUAAGGUCUUCGGACCUAAGAUUUAUUGCCUUUGGAUGGGCCCGCGUUGGCUUAGGUGGUUGGUAGUGUAAAAGCCGACCAAGGCGACGAUGCAUAGCUGGUGUGAGAGGAUGCUCAGCCACACUUGGGCUACGACCCGGGCCAGACGCCUACGCAAGGGUGCAGUGGAGAAUAUUGGACGCUGGGCGCAGGCCUAAUCACGCCAUGCCCCGUGAGUGAUGCAGGCCUUAGGGUUCUAAAGCUCUUUUACCCGGGAUGAUAAUGACGGUACCGGGUGAAUAAGCUCCGGCUAACUCCGUG
rnacentral:rRNA from 1 species